AUUGAACGCUGGCGGCAGGCCUAACACAUGCAAGUCGAACGAAGUGGCGAACGGGUGAGUAAUACGUGGGUAACCUGCCCUCCUUUUUGGGAUAAGCCUUGGACACGGGGUCUAAUACCGAAUAAAGGGGGAUGGGCUCGCGGCCUAUCAGCUUGUUGGUGGGGUGAUGUCAUACCAAGGCGGUGACGGGUAGCCGGCCUGAGAGGGUGCGCGGCCCCAUGGGGUCUGUGAGACGGCCCAGCGUCUUACGGGAGGAAGCAGUGGGGGAGAGUGACCAAUGGGCGAAGGCGUGAUGCAGCGGCGCCGCGUGGGGGAUGAAGGUUUUUGGGUUGGAAACCUCUUUCGCAAUCGAACGGAGAGGUGGGUAAGAUGCGCCGGCUAACAACGGGCCAGCAGCCGCGGUAAUAC
rnacentral:rRNA from 1 species